rnacentral:rRNA from 1 species
UACAUAGGGGGCAAGCGUUGUUCGGAAUUACUGGGCGUAAAGGGCGCGUAGGCGGCCUGUUAAGUCGAACGUGAAAUCCCCGGGCUCAACCCGGGAACUGCGUCCGAUACUGGCAGGCUUGAAUCCGGGAGAGGGAUGCGGAAUUCCAGGUGUAGCGGUGAAAUGCGUAGAUAUCUGGAGGAACACCGGUGGCGAAGGCGGCAUCCUGGACCGGCAUUGACGCUGAGGCGCGAAAGCCAGGGGAGCAAACGGG